UACAGAGGGUGCGAGCGUUGUCCGGAAUCACUGGGCGUAAAGGGCGCGUAGGCGGCUUGAUAAGGUUGCGGUGAAAGCCCGGGGCUCAACCCCGGGUCGGCCGUGGCAACUGUCGAGCUGGAGCACUGUAGAGGCAGGUGGAAUUCCGGGUGCAGCGGUGGAAUGCGUAGAGAUCCGGAAGAACACCGGUGGCGAAGGCGGCCUGCUGGGCAGUGGCUGACGCUGAGGCGCGACAGCGUGGGGAGCAAACAGG
rnacentral:rRNA from 1 species